GAGAUUCAGCCAAAAGGGGCUGGAGCGUCCCGCUAUAGGCGGGAAGGUCAAGGGUUCGACUCCCUUAUUCUCCA
rnacentral:tRNA from 1 species